rnacentral:rRNA from 1 species
AGAGUUUGAUUCUGGCUCAGAACGAACGCUGGCGGCGUGGAUAAGACAUGCAAGUCGAACGCUGAUCACCGGGUAGCAAUAUUUGGUGGUUGGAGUGGCGCAAGGGUGCUUAACACGUGGGCAAUUUGCCGUGAAGUUUGGGAUAACCCCGAGAAAUCGGGGCUAAUACCGCAUGUGACCUUUGGUGGGCAUCCACUGGAGUUCAAAGCUGGGGAUCUCGCUUGCGAGACCUGGCGCUUUACGAUAAGCCCGCGGCCUAUCAGCUAGUUGGCGGGGUAACGGCCCACCAAGGCUAGGACGGGUAGCUGGUCUGAGAGGACGACCAGCCACACUGGAACUGAGACACGGUCCAGACACCUACGGGUGGCAGCAGUCGAGAAUUUUUCUCAAUGGGGGAAACCCUGAAGGAGCGACGCCGCGUGGGGGAUGAAUGGCUUCGGCCCGUAAACCCCUGUCAUUCGGGACCAAAUGUUGUUCAUGAACAAUGGGCAGCUUGAUUGUACCGGAAGAGGAAGGGACGGCUAACUCUGUGCCAGCAGCCGCGGUAAUACAGAGGUCCCAAGCGUUGUUCGGAUUUACUGGGCGUAAAGGGUGCGUAGGCGGUGGGGUAAGUUUGAGGUGAAAGCUCCGGGCUCAACCCGGAAACUGCCUUGAAUACUAUCCUGCUAGAGGGUUGGAGGGGAGACUGGAAUUCUCGGUGUAGCAGUGAAAUGCGUAGAUCUCGAGAGGAACACCAGUGGCGAAGGCGAGUCUCUGGACAACACCUGACGCUGAGGCACGAAAGCCAGGGGAGCAAACGGGAUUAGAUACCCCGGUAGUCCUGGCCCUAAACGGUGCGUACUUGCUGUAAGCGGAUUCGACCCCGCUUGUGGCGAAGUUAACACGAUAAGUACGCCGCCUGGGAAGUACGGUCGCAAGAUUAAAACUCAAAGAAAUUGACGGGGGCCUGCACAAGCGGUGGAGUAUGUGGCUUAAUUCGAUACUACGCGAAGAACCUUACCUGGUCUUGACAUGCACGUAGUAGAAGCUUGAAAGAGUAACGAGGUAGCAAUACCAGCGUGCACAGGUGCUGCAUGGCUGUCGUCAGCUCGUGUCGUGAGAUGUUGGGUUAAGUCCCGCAACGAGCGCAACCCCUACGUCCUGUUGCCACUCCCGCGUAAGCGGGAAGCACUCUGGACGGACUGCCUCGCUUCAACGAGGAGGAAGGUGGGGAUGACGUCAAGUCAGUAUGGCCCUUACGACCAGGGCUGCACACGUACUACAAUGCCCGGCACAAAGGGGAGCCAACCGGCAACGGUGAGCAAAUCCUAAAAACCGGGCCCAGUUCAGAUUGUCGUCUGCAAUUCGACGGCAUGAAGCUGGAAUCGCUAGUAAUGGCGCAUCAGCUACGGCGCCGUGAAUACGUUCCCAGGCCUUGUACACACCGCCCGUCACAUCAUGAAAGCCGUUUGUACCCAAAGCCAUCACGUGAAUCGCAAGGAAACAGAUGCCUAAGGUAUGAAUGGUGAUUGGGAUGAAGUCGUAACAAGGUA